rnacentral:miRNA from 1 species
CUCCCAUUUUUCAUUGAUCUCCGUAUAGCACAUGUUUAUGGGGAUCAAUGACAAACGGAG